UGGGGAAUAUUGCACAAUGGGCGAAAGCCUGAUGCAGCAACGCCGCGUGCGGGAUGACGGCCUUCGGGUUGUAAACCGCUUUCAGCAGGGACGAAGGUUUUCUGACGGUACCUGCAGAAGAAGCACCGGCUAACUACGUGCCAGCAGCCGCGGUGAUACGUAGGGUGCGAGCGUUGUCCGGAAUUAUUGGGCGUAAAGAGCUUGUAGGCGGUCCGUUGCGUCGGAAGUGAAAACUCAGGGCUUAACCCUGAGCCUGCUUUCGAUACGGGCGGACUUGAGGGAUGUAGGGAGAACGGAAUUCCUGGUGGAGCGGUGGAAUGCGCAGAUAUCAGGAGGAACACCAGUGGCGAAGGCGGUUCUCUGGACAUUUCCUGACGCUGAGAAGCGAAAGCGUGGGGAGCAAACAGGCUUAGAUACCCUGGUAGUCCACGCCGUAAACGGUGGGCACUAGGUGUGGGACCCAUUCCACGGGUUCCGUGCCGUAGCUAACGCAUUAAGUGCCCCGCCUGGGGUAGUACGGCCGCAAGGCUAAAACCUUAAAUGAAUUGACGGGGUCAUGAGCUGUUUCCCU
rnacentral:rRNA from 1 species